GUUGUGCAAAUCUAUAUUGUACCACAGCGUUCAUUUUCAAUUACGAACACGUGAUUUUGACUGUCCUGGUGUUUGUGUAAUACGACACUAAAUGCGCUUGUUUGUGCUGUCAGCUUACAGUUUAUAGUGAAAUGGUUGUUAUGUAACUGAAUGAAGUAAGAUUAGUUUGUAUAUUGAGGAUAUGUUUAAAUCAUAAAUGUUUUUCGUGAUUUUUGUUUUUUUCUUAUUUAAAACCUGAGAAUGGCUUCAGGAUAUCAAGCUGUUGAUGGGUUUCCUGUUACUCCAGAUGUCCCACUCUUUGGAGCUGCAGAACAGAGUUCUGGAGCUCGAUUGAUUAAUGUAAUUGUUGGUUUCAUCACCGUCUUUGUUGUUUUCUUUACAAUGAUUAGUGCCUUCGUAUAUGAUGAGAAUUCUAACAGAGGAUUGAAUAUUACAUUGGCAAUAAUUGUUGCAAUGAUAUGUGCUUCUCAUCUGCUGCUGAUAUUUUGGUACCGACAAGGUGAUGUUGAUCCAAAGUUCAAGAAACUCAUCUACUACAAUGCGUUUUGCAUAAUAUUGCUUUGUAUCUGUGCUAAUAUAUAUUUCCAUGGAGCAUAGGUUUCAAUCCAGAGGAUAUUACAGCAGGUCAGAGGUGAAGCGCUAUGAAUUGGUUUUGUACACGUUUGAUGAGCAUUAUUAUAAAAUGUAAGAGGAUUUCAUCAUAAUAGUUGUACAGGGUGGACAAUUUAUCUUUGAAGUGAGUCCUUAGAAUUGAUAACUUCAUGUCUGUAUAGCAAUUGAACUUUUGUCAACAAAUAUCUGUAUACUUUCCCAUACAGUGUAACUUACAUUAUUUUACAGAAGAGCCUGUCAUCUUGAAGCAGUACUUCUACAUAUGACAAACAUUUUUGAAUCUGUGAACUCCAUGGUGAUUUCCUACACUCCAGUAGGGAUUGUCUUGAUUUUUUACAUAACCACUUACUGUAAACCACUGUCUGAUUAAAAAGAGUGUAAAGUUAUUUGUGAUUCUCAUUCCACACAAUCUGUAGGCAUGAAAUUUGUGUGGCUUGAACUUCACAAUAACUAAACAUUAAUAAUUUUGUUUUUACUUGAGU